UUCGUAGGGUGCGAGCGUUAAUCGGAAUUACUGGGCGUAAAGCGUGCGCAGGCGGUUCGUUAAGACAGAUGUGAAAUCCCCGGGCUUAACCUGGGAACUGCAUUUGUGACUGCAUCGCUGGAGUGCGGCAGAGGGGGAUGGAAUUCCGCGUGUAGCAGUGAAAUGCGUAGAUAUGCGGAGGAACACCGAUGGCGAAGGCAAUCCCCUGGGCCUGCACUGACGCUCAUGCACGAAAGCGUGGGGAGCAAACAGG
rnacentral:rRNA from 1 species